GAGUGACAACUGGCUCUCACACCUCUGUUUUCGGGGUAGUUAUUUUGUCCUCUGUUGAAAUGCUCAUUUCUGUCAUUUGCUGAGUUACAGGCAAGGCAGCCGCAGGCACAUUUCUUGAUUUUUCAGAUGUGCUGCCAGCAGCACCUUCACAGUUGUUUAAGCUAGUGUCUGCUCUCUGUACAGAUGCAGAAUCUGAGGUAGGACUGUUGGAACCACUAGCUGUCCCCAUUGGGCUCAUUCUGCCACUAUUCUGCUGCCUCUGAAGAUGUUCUUUGUAGCAAACUGAACACAUUCCAUUUGUCCUAGGAUUUCCAUAAAAGCCACAUCCUGUGCUACACAGCAUGGGCCCCGGGGUCUGGUUAGUCUCCUGAGCCAUAUUUUUCUGCCAGGUCUGAGUUCCAACCAUCCCCAUGGCCAAAGGGAUUUUAUUUUAUUUUUAAGAUGGAGUCUUGCUCUUGUCGUCCAGGGUGGAGUGCAAUGGUGUGAUUUCGGCUCACGGCAACCUCUGCCUCCUGGGUUCAAACGAUUCUCCUGCCGCAACCUCCUGAGCAGCUGGGAUUACAGGCGCCUGCCACCAUGCCCAGCUAAUUUUUUUUUUUUGUAUUUUUAAUAGAGAUGAGGUUUCACCAUGUUGGCCAGGCUGGUCUCCAACUCCUGACCUCAGGUGAUCCACCCACCUCGGCUUCCCAAAGUGCUUGGGAUUACAGGUGUAAGCCACCGCGCCUGGCUGGAAGUUUAUUUUUAAAAGUCUUUAGAAAAUAAAAAAAGAGAAAGUAUGCUUGGAAGACACCCAAGUGCGUGACUUGAAGAACAAGUGCCUGAUUUUUAGUAUAGUCACAGAAUUGUGUAACUGUCACCAUAAUCAAUCUUCAGAACAUAUUCAUCACCCCAGCAAGAAACCCCAUACCCAUUAGUAAUUGCUCCUUUUUUCACCCCACCCUUCAGCCUCCUCUCUCCAGCCCCUGGGAACCCUAAUCUACUUCUUUGUUUCUGUGAACUUGCCUAUUCUCAAUAUUUCAUAUGAAUGGAAUAAUAUGUGUUCUUGUGACUGGCUUCUUUCACUUAGCAUAAUGUUUUCAAACUUUAUCCAUGUUGUAUCAUGUAUCAAUACUUUAUUUCUUUUUAUUUUUUACUUAAAAUUUUUUUCCUAUACAGAUGAAGUCUCACUGUAUUACCCAGGCUGGUCUCAAACAACUGGGCUCAAGCGAUCCUCCCACCUUGGCCUUUCAAAUUGUUGGGAUUAUAGGUGUGAGCCACUGUGCCCAGCCCCGUUUCUUUUUAUUGCCAAAUAAUCUUCCAUUAUAUGUAUAUACCACGUUUUGUAAAUCCAUUCAUCAGUUGGUGGACAUUUGAGUUGUUUCUGCUUUUGGCUAUUACAAACAAUGCUGCUUAUGAACAUUUUCUUUCUUUCUAAGAGAUGGAGUGUUGCUCGGAUCACUGAAACCUCCGUCUUUCCAGUUCAAAUGAUUCUCCUGGCCCAGCCUUCUGAGUAGCUGGGAUUACAGGUGCACACAACUACACCCAGCUAAUAUUGGUAUUUUUAGUAGAGACGCAGUUUCACCAUGUUGGCCAGGCUGGUCUUGAACUCCUGAGCUCAAGUGAUCUGCCCACCUCAGCCUCCCAAAGUGCUGGGAUUACAGGGGUGAGCCAUCAAGCCCAGCCGUGGACAUCUGUGUAUGAGUUUUUGUAUAGACAUGUUUUUAUUUCUCUUGGGUAUAUACCUAGGAGUGCAAUUGUUGGGUCAUAUUAUUACCAGAAUGGGGUCCUGAUCAAGUCCCCAAGAGAGGGUUCUUGGAUCUUACACAGGAAAGAAGUCAGGGUAAGUCUAUAGAGUAAAGUGAAAGCAAGUUUAUUAGAGAAGAAACAAAAGAAUGGCUGGUCCAUAGGCAGAGCAGCCCUGAGGGCUGCUGGUUGGAUAUUUUUGUGGUUAUUUCUUGAUUAUAUGCUACAUAUGGGGUGGAUUAUUCAUGAGUUUUCCAGGAAAGGGGUGGCGAUUUCUUGGAACUGAGGGUUCCUUUUCCUUUUUGACCAUUUAGGGUAACUUCUAGACAUUGCCAUGGUAUUUGUAAACUGUCGUGGCACUGGUGGGAGUGUCUUCUAGCAUGGUUACACAUUAUAAUUAGUGUAUAAAGAGCAAUGAGGACAACCAGAAGUCAGUUCCAUCUGUAUCUUGGUUUGGGCGUGUUUUGGCCAGCUUCUUUACUGCAUCCUGUUUUAUCAGCAGGGUCUUUGUGACCUGUAUCUUGUGCUGACCUCCUAUCUCAUCCUGCAACUAAGAAUGCCUAAUCUGGGAAUGCAGCCCAGCAGGUCUCAGCUUUAUUUUACCCAGACCCUGUUCAAGAUGCAGUUGCUCUGGUUCAAACACUUCUGACAUAUUUCCCCCCUCCUUUUUACAAGGGGAUCUUUAAUCCUAAGGGUUGCAGAGGGGCAAAGAUCCAUCCACUGUAACUUCUUUAGGCUGACUAGGGGCAAUGAUAUUCCUGCCUAUUAGGGUCUCUUGUAUCCAGGGUAGAGAGGAGCUCAGUCAGAAAGCCUCAGUAUGGUGAGGGCCCGUCAUAACUCUGAGUUCUGACAAAAGGUGAUAUCUGAAAGACUAAUAAGUGCUCAAUUUAAGAAAACAUUGAAUAAGCUUUUCUUGCAUUUUUACACAAAGAAUAUGACAGCAAUAUAUUCCACAAAAGUAAAGCGAAAUAAGUAAAAUUAUUCCAAGUGAACUAAAUAAGAAAGCUUUUCAUGAACGGGGCAGUUGUUGGAACCAAGCUGAUACAGUCACUAGCUGAUUCCAAUACAUGCCCAGAAUUAAAAUAUUGAUCCAGAUUUUUACAUUACCUUCCCCUUUUGUUUCUUCUGAGCAGCAGCCAGAGAUCACUGGUUGGUUCACAGGAAGAAGCAGAGUCAGUCUAAAUUGCAGAAAAAACUCAACAGAUGAGACUAGAAUCUAAUAACAGGUGUAUCACGGUUUUUGAAAAAUAAUUUUUCUCUCAUUCCCAUUUUUAUUAAAAACAAAUCAUGGUAGGACUCAUUUAUUUGCAAACUAAGUUUUAGUCUUAUUAUACUAGGUCUGAUUAUUUGUAUAAAGUGCAGCAAGAGUAAUUAUUUGCCAUAUAGGCUCUUUUUAAAUUGGAUUUGAUGGAACUUUGUUCCAUAAGGAAUCUCAGAUUAGAGCUUUUAAAGCACUGAUCCUAGCCACGGGUUUGUACCUUCAAAUACUCGUAUGAAUUGGGUACAUUUCUUUCCUCUCAAUUUCCCAGGAUAAUUGGGACUCCUGGGCCAGAAAGUGACAUUUUUGGCCAGGUGUGGUCGUCACACCUGUAACCCCAGCACUUUUGGAGGCUGAGGUGGGUUGAUUACUUGACGUCAGGAGUUUGAGACCAGCCUGGCUAACAUGGUGAAAAGCCUGUCUCUACUAAUAAUACAAAAAAAAUUUAGCCUGGCAUAGUGGCACAUGCCUAUAAUCCCAGCUGCUCGGAGGCUGAGUUAGGAGAAUCACUUGAACGUGGGAGGCGGAGGUUGCAGUAAGCCAAGAUCAUAUCACUGCACUCCAGCCUGGGUGACAGAGUGAAACACUCUCUCAAAAAAAAAAAAAAAAAAAAAGUGACAUUCUUUAGAAAGUGACAUUCUUUACUUACCACAGGUCAGGAUCGCUGUACAAGGACUGCAUAGACAAGGCACGAGGCCAGUUUUCCCAGGGGGCUUUUUCUGACUCUGUAAGUCAACUUUGAUUCCUUAAAAGUAGUCUUUUUGUACCUGGCAUGCCAUUCCAGUCAAAGCCUUCAUAAAAGAACCAUUGUCUCCAAUGGUGUCCUGUUACGAAAGAAAACAGAUUGUUAUUGUACUUGUGCAAAUAUUGCCAUAGUCAAGAAUACUUACAGUUUCCAAAUUUUGGAGAAAGAAAUAUGCUCCAAAUUUUCUUUAUAGGAAUAUAUUUUACUUGUUAAAAGCUGUAAAUAGCUCAAAAGAAAAGUAUUCUUGACUCUGAAAAGACAGAAAGGAUCAGCAAUGUUUUAGGCAAAAAGUCAUAAAAAGAUUAUUUUCAUCUUUUGUUAGUUCAGUCUAUGCAAUUAGUUCCUGUUUCACUCAACAUUUAUGUACACAUUAGUUUUCCAAGAGAGUCUUUGAAGUUCUUUCUUCUCUAUUUUAAUGGCACACUUUCCAAAGUUAUCAAAGGCCUGCAUUUAAGAGUACUCAUCAGAGUCCUAUAGCUGAUUAUAAACUGCUCUUUAAAGAGGAUCAAAAUAAGACAACAAUUGUCUGUGGAUGACAAAAAUUAUUAUGGCAGUCAUGGUUACUUCUGUGGCAUACAACAAUUUUACAAAACAAUUAUAAUUAUUACUGAUAAUAUACACUAAGUCAUAUCAGUAUUAUAGGAGUAUAGCAUAAUUUUGGAAAACAUACCAAUAACACAUUUAUACAAAUACACCCAAAGAAAGCCAAACACUGUUUCAUAUUUGACAGUGCUUCCUGUAUGAUUUUAAUAUACCAAAUAAGCCAAAUAUGUCUCUUUUGGACUUUAGGGUACCUGAUAUCUAAAGGAUUAAUCAGGUCAGAAAAAGGCAACUUAUAAUUUGAUUUUGGAAAGUUUUCAAAUAUUAAAGUUUUAAAAUACUUGAUAUAAAAUAGAAUCCCAGCACACUGUAAGUCAUUGAGCCAAAAUGAUAAAGAUUUUAAAAAGGGAAAAACCUGGCCGGGCAUGGUGGCUCACGCCUGUAAUCCCAGCACUUUGGGAGGCUGAGGUGGGCGGAUCAUAAGGUCAGGAGUUUGAGACCAGCCUGGCCAAUAUGGUGAAACCCCGUCUCACUAAAAAUACAAAAAAUUAGCCAGGCGUGGUGGUGCACGCCUGUAAUCCCAGCUACUCGGGAGGCUGAGGCAGGAGAAUUGCUUGAACCCGGGAGGCGGAGGUUUCAGUGAGCCAAGAUUGUUC
rnacentral:lncRNA from 10 species